UGCCGCGUGUGUGAAGAAGGCCCUCGGGUUGUAAAGCACUUUCAGUGAGGAAGAACGCCUGGUGGUUAAUACCAUCAGGAAAGACAUCACUCACAGAAGAAGCACCGGCUAACUCCGUGCCAGCAGCCGCGGUAAUACGGAGGGUGCGAGCGUUAAUCGGAAUUACUGGGCGUAAAGCGCGCGUAGGUGGCUUGAUAAGCCGGUUGUGAAAGCCCCGGGCUCAACCUGGGAACGGCAUCCGGAACUGUCAAGCUAGAGUGCAGGAGAGGAAGGUAGAAUUCCCGGUGUAGCGGUGAAAUGCGUAGAGAUCGGGAGGAAUACCAGUGGCGAAGGCGGCCUUCUGGACUGACACUGACACUGAGGUGCGAAAGCGUGGGUAGCAAACAGGAUUAGAUACCCUGGUAGUCCACGCCGUAAACGAUGUCGACCAGCCGUUGGGUGCCUAGCGCACUUUGUGGCGAAGUUAACGCGAUAAGUCGACCGCCUGGGGAGUACGGCCGCAAGGUUAAAACUCAA
rnacentral:rRNA from 1 species